rnacentral:tmRNA from 1 species
GGGGAUGCCCCGGUUUCGACUGGUACGAUUCGGGGUACAGGUUGCAGGUGGAGCGCUCAUCUCCUGAUUGAGCACAAAAUUUAACUGCCAACUAUAACAGCAGUUACGAUUACGCCUUAGCUGCGUAACCGCGUGGAACCGUUCCGCCGCUCUGAGGGACGGCUUCCGCGUCGCAAUCAGGGCUGGUUCUGACGCCGCUUCCGGAGGCGGCAGGAUGAGAUUUUCCGGAAUACGGACUGGCCGCGCGCCGUUUAGCCAAGCCAGUCCCGACAAUAUAAUAAGCGGCUAAACCUGUAGAUGCUUGUAUUUCGCGUGUCAGGACGCGGGUUCGACUCCCGCCAUCUCCAAAA